rnacentral:rRNA from 1 species
AUGCAAGACAAUGAUGGGAAUACUGCACUGCAUUUAGCCAUCAAAGCUCCGAUGCUUCAAAUAUUUUGUUCUUUGUACGGGAAUAAGGAAGUACAUUUAACUUUGACAAACAACAAGGAGGAGACACCCAUUGAUCUAUCCAGGAAUUGUCUUCCUCGCGGAAUGUAUUAUCACUGGAACAAUGAAAAGCGGAUAUAUGCAACACUUGCAUUGUUUGGUACCAAUCAUAAUGGCCUUCGCUGGGAUCAGUUUGAAGAGAAGUAUAGUCGCCACUUAACACCAGAGGACAAGGUCAAAGAAGCAGAGAAGGUGAAAGAUUCAAGCCAAAUACUAGGGAUUGGUUCAGUUUUAAUAGCAACGGUGGCAUUCGGUGCAACAUUCGCUGUCCCGGGAGGUUUCAUAGCGGAUGAUCAUACAAAUCGAGGCACCCCAACACUUGCUGGGAGGUAUACAUUUGAUGCAUUCAUGAUGGCAAAUGCACUAGCCUUUAUUUGCUCCAUAAUAGCUACAGUUGGUCUCAUGUUCUCUGGAACUUCUAUGGUUAACAUGAAGAGCCGCCAAAUCAACUUAUAUGCAUCCGUGUUUUUCAUGUCAAGUUCGCUUACAAGCUUAUCUGUUGCUUUUGCAACGGGCGUGUAUAUGGUGCUAGCUCCGGUUGCUCAUGCUACUGCCAUGGCGAUUUGUGUGCUUAGUCCUCUCGCGGUGCUAUAUAGAAAUUCUGAAUUUUUACUAAAGGUCAUAAUUCUUGCACGAUCAUUAUACCUUAGAAUGGGGAUAAUUUGGGCAUUAAAGUGGUUAGCAAUGAUGAUGGUUAAGCGGAUUCUCUUGGAGUUAUGGCCCUUCGUAGUUAUCUUCGGCUGGGCCGCAAUUGCACAGAAGAUCCGAAACCACCUCUGA